GACGUAGGGCGCGAGCGUUGUCCGGAUUUAUUGGGCGUAAAGAGUUCGUAGGCGGCUCGUUGCGUCAGCUGUGAAAACCCGCAGCUCAACUGUGGGCUUGCAGCUGAUACGGGCGGGCUAGAAUUCGGUAGGGGAGACUGGAAUUCCUGGAGUAGCGGUGAAAUGCGCAGAUAUCAGGAGGAACACCGGUGGCGAAGGCGGGUCUCUGGGCCGAUAUUGACGCUGAGGAGCGAAAGCGUGGGGAGCGAACAGG
rnacentral:rRNA from 1 species